rnacentral:lncRNA from 1 species
UUUUCUCUUCAAUUGCUUCUCAACCUUCAAAGCAAGGUGAAACAAAUAUUCUAGCUCCAUAUAAGGCUGCAAUUCAACCACAUUAGAAAUCUCCUUAUUCAAACCAUUAACAAAUCUAGCCAUUGUAGCCUCACUAUCUUCCUUGACAUUUGCUCUAAUCAUGGCCACUUCCAUUUCUUUGUAGUACUCCUCAACACUCUUGGAACAUUGUGUAAGAUUUUGAAGUUGAUUGUACAACUCUCUAUAGCACUCCACUUCAAAUUUCUCCAUUCUUCAAUAAGCCUCUCCGCUUCUUCUUUGUAUCAUCCCAACAAGUAAUAGCAUAAUCUUCAAAAACAGCAACGACAAGUUGUAGUUUCUUGGAUUCAGUGUAGUUAUUGCAAUCAAAUACUAGUUCAAUCUUCUUUUCUCAAUCCAAGUUUCAGGAUCGAUUUUUCCAUGAAAGGAUGGAAUCUUGAAUUUAACACCACCAAAAUUGCUAUUAUUGUUUUU